rnacentral:rRNA from 1 species
UACGGAGGGUGCAAGCGUUAUCCGGAUUCACUGGGUUUAAAGGGUGCGUAGGCGGGCAGGUAAGUCCGUGGUGAAAUCUCUGAGCUUAACUCAGAAACUGCCAUGGAUACUAUUUGUCUUGAAUAUUGUGGAGGUAAGCGGAAUAUGUCAUGUAGCGGUGAAAUGCUUAGAUAUGACAUAGAACACCAAUUGCGAAGGCAGCUUCUAACACAGUUAUUGACGCUGAGGCACGAAAGCGUGGGGAGUCAAACAGGAA